rnacentral:rRNA from 1 species
GUUGCCGGCCAUAGCAAUGGUGUUCCACCUGGUCCCAUUCCGAACCCAGAAGUUAAGCCCAUUGACGCUGUUGUGUUAGUUAGGUCCGAAAGGUCUUGCGAAGCAAUAGUGCCGGCACAU